UUUAUCUUUUUCUCUAUCUUCUCAUCAUCUCUUUCUAUCUUUUCCUCAUCAACAACAUUAUCAACUUCAAAACUAGGGGCUUGACAUUCCUCCCUAUGGUUAACCUCAGUAUUAACCCUACAAUUCAAUAUCUCAUUGGAGUGAUGAAUCUGUAUCUCCAACCUUUCAUUUCUUACUUCACUCUCUUCUUUAUAGGAGAAAGAAUUUUGGAGAAGUCGUUCCAAUGUCUCGUCCAAUCUGUUGAUUUGCUCAUUCAAACAAAAUACCUGUUGCCCUAAUAGUAAUUGUUGAUGUAGUUCUCCUGCUUGUCCAUUCCAACCUUGAUCCAUGCUUGAGUGAGGUUCCC
rnacentral:lncRNA from 1 species